UGCUGUUUGCCCAAAAGCAAACUCAUGAACCCAUCAGAAUCUGCUAUUGCAAAAACUAUGGAAUCCUGCAUGAGAUUCCACAAUGAGGAACUUUAGGUCUUUCCAUCUUGCAAUGUGCAUGUUAUUGUUCAGAUGCAGGUAACAAGAAAGGGUUAACAGUCGCUCACAGUACCUAACUAAGGUAGGAUGGCAAGAAAUACUAGGGACAUGGGCCUUCUCCAAUCAGGUAACCAUGAAAUGUCUUUCUACUGUAAUUUGUAAUUCUGCUUAUUCAAAGUGCGGGAAAAUGUGAGUUUAUUUUUUCUGGUUUGAAGCCUCCUAUUUUGUUCUGGGACCCCGACAACAGGAAACUUGUAUCCUAAAAGUGUCCCUGGCACUCUUUGGACACCAAGGAGAAUAAGUCUGCUUAGAAAGCAGUAUUAAAAUUUCAAUUGCAGAGCCAUUUUGCAAAUACUAUGAGUUUAUGUCCCCAGGCAACCUUAGGACAGGUCAUAAUGCAGCUCUAGAUGUUAGGUUUUGGACAGGGAUAUAAUUUGAGGUUCCUCUUGCUUUUGCUUUUUCAAGAAAAAUAAGGCCAGCUCCCGGUUUUCUAACCACUAUCAGUUUGUAUUAAAUUCCUCCAUAAACUUCCACUUUCUAAAAGAGAAACACCUUGAAAUGGUUCAAAUCAAUUCUAACCUGGGAAAAGUUGCACAAAAUGAAAUUUAAUUCCUCUACCGGUUCAAUGUUGUUUGAAAUGUUUUUAGCACAUUACAAUGGAGUAAAUAUUCCCUACUAGACUUAUCAACAAUAUUUUAUUUUGCUGAUUUUAAUGAUUUAAAUUUAUUAUUUUAUAUAACUUUGAGACUUUUAGUUUCAAUUAGGAAAAAUUUGUGGUGUUUUAGGUACCCAGAUAUUAACACACACACACACACACACACAUUAAUCUUCUCAAAAGUCUUUUAGUUCAAACUUUUGUGUAGACUCAGCAAGGUGAACUAUUUAAUACAAGCUCAGAUAGGGAUGUACUCUGAGAAAAUAUAAAAAGCCAAAUAUGAAGUCAUAUAAACAAAUAAUUUAAAUCAAUGCAGUUGUAUAUGAAAAUUCUAUUCUUCUUCAGCAAAGCUUUUCCUAAGAGAAAGAAGUUUAAAAUGUUAAGGUCAUGCAAUA
rnacentral:lncRNA from 1 species